CCAUGACUGUGGGUGAAAGAGAAAAAAGUAAACUACCAAGUCAAUCUGAAGCUAAUCUUAGGACCUAGAAUAAUUAAGGACCACAACAAGGAGUCUAGAUCAAUCAAUUAAAUGCAAUUCACACAUUAAGAUCUGAAAAACAAGUAGACAACCAUGUCGAGACACCUAAAAAAUAAGAUGACCCAUUGUCUAAACCACCUCAUGAGCAAG
rnacentral:lncRNA from 1 species